CCUACGGGAGGCAGCAGUGGGGAAUAUUGCACAAUGGGCGAAAGCCUGAUGCAGCGACGCCGCGUGAGGGAUGACGGCCUUCGGGUUGUAAACCUCUUUCAGCAGGGACGAAGCGAGAGUGACGGUACCUGCAGAAGAAGCGCCGGCCAACUACGUGCCAGCAGCCGCGGUAAU
rnacentral:rRNA from 1 species